GACGAACGCUGGCGGCGUGCUUAACACAUGCAAGUCGAACGGUGAAGCUCCAGCUUGCUGGAGUGGAUUAGUGGCGAACGGGUGAGUAACACGUGAGCAACCUGCCACUGACCCUGGAAUAAGCGCUGGAAACGGCGUCUAAUACUGGAUACGAGAAGGGUCCGCAUGGGCACUUUCUGGUAAGUUUUUCGGUUGGGGAUGGGCUCGCGGCCUAUCAGCUUGUUGGUGAGGUAGUGGCUCACCAAGGCGACGACGGGUAGCCGGCCUGAGAGGGCGACCGGCCACACUGGGACUGAAACACGGCCCAGACUCCUACGGGAGGCAGCAGUGGGGAAUAUUGCACUAUGGGCGAAAGCCUGAUGCAGCGACGCCGCGUGGGGGAUGACGGCCUUCGGGUUGUAAACCUCUUUCAGCAGGGAAGAAGCGAAAGUGACGGUACCUGCAGAAGAAGCACCGGCUAACUACGUG
rnacentral:rRNA from 1 species